rnacentral:lncRNA from 1 species
GGCAGCGUUUACGGUGGUUAGGAGGUCUUUGAUGGUGGUGGAAGGCUUGGUUGUGGUGGUUGGAGAACAAAACUUAAAAGAAGGUGGUGGUGGUUCUAUUUUGUUUUGAGAGAAAAAAAGAUGAAAAAAAGAAAAAAAAUAGAGAUUAGGGUGCAAAUGAGGGUGGUGGAUGGCACGAGGGGUGUGUGCCGCUUGGUUAACCAUGACCAGGUUCAUUGUAUCACAAUCUUAUGGCAAGAGAGGCGGUUUUGGAAAGGGAGUGAAACAAUAAGUGGAAAGGGG